rnacentral:rRNA from 1 species
AGAGUUUGAUCCUGGCUCAGGAUGAAUGCUGGCGGCGUGCCUAACACAUGCAAGUCGAGCGGCAGCGCGAGUAGUUUACUACUUGGCGGCGAGCGGCGGACGGCUGAGUAACGCGUGGGAACAUACCCCAAAGUGAGGAAUAACCGCCCGAAAGGGUGGCUAAUGCCGCAUAUGAUCUUCGGAUUAAAGGAUUUAUCCGCUUUGGGAAUGGCCUGCGUACGAUUAGAUAGUUGGUGAGGUAAUGGCUCACCAAGUCGACGAUCGUUAGCUGGUCUGAGAGGAUGACCAGCCAGACUGGAACUGAGACACGGUCCAGACUCCUACGGGAGGCAGCAGUGAGGAAUCUUCCACAAUGGGCGAAAGCCUGAUGGAGCAACGCCGCGUGCAGGAUGAAGGCCUUCGGGUCGUAAACUGCUUUUAUGAGUGAGGAAUAUGACGGUAACUCAUGAAUAAGCACCGGCUAACUACGUG